rnacentral:rRNA from 1 species
GAUGAACGCUGGCGGCGUGCCUAAUACAUGCCAGUCGAGCGAACAGACGAGGAGCUUGCUCCUCUGACGUUAGCGGCGGACGGGUGAGUAACACGUGGAUAACCUACCUAUAAGACUGGGAUAACUUCGGGAAACCGGAGCUAAUACCGGAUAAUAUAUUGAACCGCAUGGUUCAAUAGUGAAAGACGGUUUUGCUGUCACUUAUAGAUGGAUCCGCGCCGCAUUAGCUAGUUGGUAAGGUAACGGCUUACCAAGGCAACGAUGCGUAGCCGACCUGAGAGGGUGAUCGGCCACACUGGAACUGAGACACGGUCCAGACUCCUACGGGAGGCAGCAGUAGGGAAUCUUCCGCAAUGGGCGAAAGCUUGACGGAGCACCGCCGCGUGAGUGAUGAAGGUCUUCGGAUCGUAAAACUCUGUUAUUAGGGAAGAACAAAUGUGUAAGUAACUAUGCACGUCUUGACGGUACCUAAUCAGAAAGCCACGGCUAACUACGUG